UACAGAGGUGGCAAGCGUUGUUCGGAUUUAUUGGGUGUAAAGGGCAAGUAGGCGGUUAUGCAAGUCUGUUGUGAAAUCCCAGGGCUCAACCCUGGAACUGCAAUGGAUACUGCAUGGCUUGAGUAUCAAAGAGGUAAGAGGAAUUCUCGGUGUAAGGGUGAAAUCUGUAGAUAUCGAGAGGAAUACCAAUGGCGAAGGCAUCUUACUGGUUGAAUACUGACGCUGAAUUGCGAAAGCUGGGGGAGCAAACAGG
rnacentral:misc_RNA from 1 species